rnacentral:rRNA from 1 species
GAGUUUGAUCAUGGCUCAGAGUGAACGCUGGCGGCAGGCCUAACACAUGCAAGUCGAGCGGCAGCGCGGGGGCAACCCUGGCGGCGAGCGGCGGACGGGUGAGGAAUGCAUCGGAAUCGUACCUCGUUGUGGGGGGAUAACCCUCGGGAAACCGGGACUAAUACCGCGAUACGACCUACGGGUGAAAGUGGGGGACCGCAAGGCCUCACGCGAUGAGAUGAGCCGAUGCCGGAUUAGCUAGUUGGCGGGGUAAAGGCCCACCAAGGCGACGAUCCGUAGCUGGUCUGAGAGGAUGAUCAGCCACACUGGAACUGAGACACGGUCCAGACUCCUACGGGAGGCAGCAGUGGGGAAUAUUGGACAAUGGGCGCAAGCCUGAUCCAGCCAUGCCGCGUGUGUGAAGAAGGCCUUCGG